AGCGAACGCUGGCGGCAGGCUUAACACAUGCAAGUCGAGCGGGCGUAGCAAUACGUCAGCGGCAGACGGGUGAGUAACGCGUGGGAACAUACCUUUUGGUUCGGAACAACACAGGGAAACUUGUGCUAAUACCGGAUAAGCCCUUACGGGAAGGAUUAUCGCCGAAGAUUGGCCCGCGUCUGAUUAGCUAGUUGGUGAGGUAACGGCUCACCAAGGCGACGAUCAGUAGCUGGUCNGAGAGGAUGAUCAGCCACAUUGGGACUGAGACACGGCCCAAACUCCUACGGGAGGCAGCAGUGGGGAAUAUUGGACAAUGGGCGAAAGCCUGAUCCAGCCAUGCCGCGUGAGUGAUGAAGGCCCUA
rnacentral:rRNA from 1 species